rnacentral:lncRNA from 1 species
AUGACCCCACCGGGAGGUGGUGAUCCUCUGCUGUCCCGUCCCUGGACGACCUGUGCGCACCAGGCUGGGCGCAUCUCCUCUCCAGUGCCCGCCCCGCCUGGACCGCGCUGCGCCGGCCCAGCCCCACCCCGCAACCAGGUAGUCCCGUUCCUGGUCCUGGCUCAGCUGGGUUCUCUGUCCCAGCCCUCCCAACGCGGGGGCUCAGAGGACACCGGGAGGACGAGAGGACACAGGGAGGGACCGGAGAGCGCCGGGGAGACACUAGGACCUGAUGAGAACCGGCUGAGGCAGAAGUGGAGGUCGGCUCCAAAUUGUGUGGACAGGUGGCCUGCACCCAGGGUUCACUGAGACCCGCUGGCAGCGAUUGUGGACAGCAGGAUUUGUCUAGCUGCGGAUUAGCACAGCAAAACAAAAUGGUCCUUAAUUGCCAGAUCUUUAAAAACGUGUCCUGGGAGUUCCCAUCAUGGCUCAGUGGUUCACGAAUCUGACUAGGAACCAUGAGGUUGUGGGUUCGAUCCCUGGCCCUGCUCAGUGGGUUAAGGAUUCGGCAUUGUCCUGAGCUGUGAUGUAGGUUGCAGACACGGCUUGAUCCCGUGUUGCUGUGGCUCUGGUGUAGGCCAGCGGCUACAGCUCCGGUUAGACCCCUAACCUGGGAACCUCCACAUGCCGCAGAAGCGGCCCUAGAAAAGGCAAAAAGACAAAAAAAAAAAAAAAAAAAAAAAAAAGUGUCCUGACAGCCUUGAUAGCUAAGUGGCUUGUGACUCAAGCAGUUCCAGGUGCCUAAGAGACAGCAAUGCCGAGCAGAACACGGCCCCAGGUUGGCUCCAGAGGAUCUGCCUGCCUACCUGAGGCAUGGAGGACUUCCCUGAAGGAAGUGUGGUCUGCUUUGUUAUAGAGUUAAAUGAAUGCUCUGAAAGGAAAGAGACUACAAAGAGGCAGAGUGGUCCUAAAGCAAGCCCAGAGCCAAGGGCGUGGUGGCAGAAGUCCCAGGGCCACUCUGAGGUCCUCAGCCAGCUUCCGCCUCAGGGCCCUGGCACUGCCAUUCCUCUGCCUGGAAUGCACUUCCAUCAGAGGCCUGCAGAGCUCCCUCUGUGUGCACACAUCACAUCUUCAGAGGGAAACAGCGACCCUCACCAUCCCCUCUGCCUCCUGCCGCUGGAAAAAUCAGUCCCAGGAGAAAGGAACCUCAAUUACC